rnacentral:rRNA from 1 species
GACGAACGCUGGCGGCGUGCUUAACACAUGCAAGUCGAACGAUGAACCACUUCGGUGGGGAUUAGUGGCGAACGGGUGAGUAACACGUGGGCAAUCUGCCCUUCACUCUGGGACAAGCCCUGGAAACGGUGUCUAAUACCGGAUACAACCACUACAGGCAUCUGUGGGUGGUGGAAAGCUCCGGCGGUGAAGGAUGAGCC